AAUCAACGCUGGCGGCGUGCCUAACACAUGCAAGUCGCACGAGAAAGGGGAGCAAUCCCUGAGUAAAGUGGCGCACGGGUGAGUAACACGUGACUAACCUACCCUCGAGUGGGGAAUAACCUAGAGAAAUCUGGGCUAAUACCGCAUAACACUUACGAGUCAAAGCAGCAAUGCGCUUGAGGAGGGGGUCGCGGCAGAUUAGCUAGUUGGCGGGGUAAUGGCCCACCAAGGCAAUGAUCUGUAUCCGGCCUGAGAGGGCGCACGGACACACUGGAACUGAAACACGGUCCAGACUCCUACGGGAGGCAGCAGUGGGGAAUUUUGCGCAAUGGGGGAAACCCUGACGCAGCAACGCCGCGUGGAGGAUGAAAUCCCUUGGGAUGUAAACUCCUUUCGAUAGGGAAGAUAAUGACGGUACCUAUAGAAGAAGCCCCGGCUAACUUCGU
rnacentral:rRNA from 1 species